rnacentral:rRNA from 1 species
GAUGAACGCUAGCUACAGGCUUAACACAUGCAAGUCGAGGGGCAGCAUGGGGUUUGCUUGCAAACUCUGAUGGCGACCGGCGCACGGGUGAGUAACGCGUAUCCAACCUUCCCCUUAGUAGGGCAUAGCCCGGUGAAAAUCGGAUUAAUACCCUAUGUUGUAUUUUGAGGACAUCUGACGAAUACCAAAGGUUUACCGCUAAGGGAUGGGGAUGCGUCUGAUUAGGUUGCAGGCGGGGUAACGGCCCACCUGGCCGACGAUCAGUAGGGGUUCUGAGAGGAAGGUCCCCCACACUGGUACUGAGACACGGACCAGACUCC